rnacentral:rRNA from 1 species
AGCUGAGAGGAGCUUGCUUUUCUUAGCUUAGUGGCGAACGGGUGAGUAACGCGUGAGUAACCUGCCCUGGAGUGGGGGACAACAGUUGGAAACGACUGCUAAUACCGCAUAAGCCCACGAUCUGGCAUCGGAUUGAGGGAAAAGGAUUUAUUCGCUUCAGGAUGGACUCGCGUCCAAUUAGCUAGUUGGUGAGGUAACGGCCCACCAAGGCGACGAUUGGUAGCCGGACUGAGAGGGCGGACGGCCACAUUGGGACUGAGACACGGCCCAAACUCC